rnacentral:snRNA from 1 species
AUCUUUGCGCUUGGGGCAAUGACGCAGUUAGUGAGAUGAAACCGAGACGCGUCAAUUGCUGGUUGAAAACUAUUUCCAAACUAUUUCCAUACUACAAGUGAUUUUGUAUACAUCAAUUUUUAAUUAUCAACUUGC